CGCAGUACGAGUGAAUCAUCGAAUCUUUGAACGCAUUUUGCACCUCGUGGCUUUUGCCACAAGGUAUACUUGUUUGAGUAUCCAAUACUCGCUCACCUCCCCCUUGGGGCGAAGUGGAAUUGAGAGCGUGCUUUCACCAUGCAGUGGAAGCUCUCUUUAAAAGCGGGCCAACAAUGGAAUGUCAUGGCGUUACCACGGUAGUGCUUGAUGACGGCUAUUGGGAUAACAUCCUAACGAUAGCCACUCAAUGUCAUCUCGCAUGGCUUUGACAAUCCAGGUCAUCCCUAUUUGCGCUGGGUAUCCUUUGGAAUAGAGGGAUGCUUGGCAACGAUAACGGAACACGUGAUAUGGAUCUCAAAUCAAGUAGGGAUACCCGCUGAACUUAAGCAUAUCAAUAAGCGGAGG
rnacentral:rRNA from 1 species